GACUGUGACAGAGUGAGGGGAUGACUGGUGACAGAGUGAGGGGAUGACUGGUGACAGAGGGAGGGGACUAGUGGAAAUGACUAGUGACAGAGGGAGGGAGUGACUAGUGACAGAGGGAGGGAGGGGGUGACUGUCACUAGUCACCCCAUCCCUCUCUCUGUCACUAGUCACUCCCUCCCUAACUCUGUCACUGUGUCACCCCCUCACUCACUCUGUCACUAGUCACCCCCUCACUCACUCUGUCACUAAUCACCCCCCUCUGUCCCUAGUCACCCCCUUCCUCACUCUGUCACUAGUCACCCCAUCCCUCUCUCUGU